rnacentral:rRNA from 1 species
AGACGCCGCUCCUCGCGCCGCCAUAGGUCCUGUCCCCUUCUUCUUCUUCUUCUUCUUCUUCUUCUUCUUCUUCUUCUUCACCCAAGCAGCAGCAGCAGGCUACACUCGCUGCUCCUCGCCGGACAGCAGCGGUGCAGCCGCAAGCAUCGGCUGAAGCACCAAGCAGCAGCAAGCACGCGCAAGCAACAACAGCCCCGGCCGCCGCUGCUGCUCCUCUUCCUUGGCCACGACAGCAACAGGUGGUCAAGCACGUGUGCAAGCAGCAUCAGUCCGGUGGCUUUGACGCAAGGCGUGAGGAGGCGGCUGCUCCGUGCAACACUGCAUCUCGCCGUCCUCCUCUCGAUCUGUGCCUUCCUUGAACGUCGGAGGCCUGUGCGCAGCUCACCAACGCGGCCAUUGCGGCACUACGGCGACCACCACGGGUGCAUGGGCGGGGCACACGCGAUGGGAGCAGCGCCGGCGACUGGAUUUGGCCACGAUUAAAUCUGGGACGGGAUCGGGCGGUGCAAUUUUUUUUGUUUUAUUCACUACUUUUACCGAGUGGCGCUCUCGGCAAACCUCCUGCGCCAUGUGGCUAUAGCGCCGUUUGCUCUGUUUCUUCUGAUCACUUUUCUUUGCCGAGCGCCUCUAUUUGAAACUCGGCAAUGUCUUUGCCGAGUGUCCGACAAAUGGCUCUCGGCAAAAAUCUGUUUGCUGAAGAGGUGUACGCCGGGUUGGCUU